CAACAAGAACAAGACUUCAUCUCAAAAAAAAAAAAAAAAAAAAAAAAAACCAAGCUAGCAAGCCUAAUGGCUGCUAGUGGUGGGUGAACGUUCAAUCUUCUAUGUCAUCAUGGCCAGGAGCUCAGUUUUCAAGGUUUCUCUGUGGUAUCCUUUGCCAAGAGAGGGGUCUGUUCAGCUGUUUGGGUGGCUCAGCAUUUGAUUUUUAUUUCUUGCUCUUAAGGGGAACAUCAACUUAAGAGUGUCUUGUCCAUGCGAUUGAAAUGUCUUCUAGUUGUUUUCAAGAAGAAUGUCCUUAUUUGAACUUCCCUGAAAGCAGGGCCUGAGACAAAUAUGUGGGCUCAUAUUUGUUUCCUUGGGAGUGAGUCCCAGGAAGCAGAAGUGAGGGAAUAGAGGCAUGAGACACUAAGUGGGAAAAACCAAGAUGGUACAGAAGCCUGAAUGCCAAGCCACCUCUUGGAGAUUUGCUUAUUUCUUUGGGUAUCUCCUAGUAUACAUGAGGUAUAUAUGUUAUUAAACUUCUGUUUGCUUUUCUCUU